rnacentral:rRNA from 1 species
AUGGCGCAGGCCAUCUCCCUCCCGGCGCUCCCCACUCCCCACCACCACCACCACCACCACUACGCCGCGCCUCCCAGCCAGAGACCCUCGCGUGGAGCCUACUCGCCGUCACUCCUCAGAGCCGAGUCCCCCAUCUCCGCCGCGCUACGAGCCGGGGACGACUCUUCGUUCCGCGACGCCCGGCUCCUCGUCUCCCUGCUGCGCCAAUGCGGCGACCUGCUCCACGGCGAGGGCGAGAAGUCUCCGGAAGCGGAGCGCACCGAUAUCGCGGCGGCCCGGAGGCUCGCGCCGCAGCUGCACUCACUGGCCGUGAGGGCGGGCCACGCGACGCGGGAGCCGCACGUGGCGUGCGCGCUCGCGGACCUGCUCGAGCGGCUGGGCCGUGGGGCGUCUGGCCGGAGGCUUCUGGCCGAGGGGGACGGCGAGGACUGGAAGGACGCGGUGCUGUGGAACAAGCAGGUGGCGAUGCUGGCGGAGGCGGGGGACUGGGACGGCGCGAUCGCCGCGUUCCGGGAGAUGCGGGCGCGCGGGGUGGCCGCCGACGGGUACGCGUGCGCGCGGGCGCUGCACGCGUGCGGCCGAGCCGGGCGACGGCGGGAGGGGCGGGCCGUGCACGCGCACGCGCUCCGGGCCGGGCUCGUCGACGCGCACCCGCUCGUGCCCGGGUUCCUCGCCGGCAUGUACGCCGAGGGCGCCGACGUGGCGGCGGCGACCACGGUGCUGCUGCGGACGACCGGCGCUGGCGUCGUCGCGUGGAACGCGGUGAUCGCGUGCUGCGUCCGGCUCGGGCUGGUGGACGACGCCUUGGAGCUCGCGGGGCGCAUGGCGAGGGACGCCGAGACGUCGGCGGUGGCUGAGCCCACGCUGAUCACCUGGAACACCGUGCUCUCCGGCUGCGCGCGCCACGGCCGCGACCGGGAGGCGCUCGCCGUCGUCGGGAGGAUGCUGGAGCAGGGCCUGUCGCCGGACGCCGCCACCGUGUCCAGCCUGCUCAAGUCGGUGGCCAACUCGGGGUUCCUCGGCCACGGCACGGAGGUCCACGGCUUCUUCCUCCGGCACGGCCUCGCGCCGGACGCGUACACGGGGACGGCGCUGGUGGACAUGUACGCCAAGUGCGGCCGCCUCGACCUCGCGCAGAGGGUGUUCGACGGAUUGGAGCACCGGAACCUGGCCACCUGGAACUCGCUCGUCGCGGGGCACGCGAACGCCGGGCAGUUCGACAGGGCGCUGGAGCUCGUGGAGACCAUGAAGCGGCACCGGCUCGACCCGAACGUGACCACCUGGAACGGGCUGAUCACCGGGUACGCCAUGAACGGGCUGAGCUCGCAAGCGAUGCUGCUGCUCCGGCAGAUCAAGGCCGCCGGCGUGGCGCCCAACGUGGUCUCCUGGACCUCACUGAUCUCCGGGAGCUGCCACAGCGGCGACUACCAGGGCUCAUUCACCUUCUUCUCCGAGAUGCAGCAGGACGGCGUCCAGCCGAGCCUGGUCACCAUGCUGGUCCUGCUCCGGGCCUGCGCCGGCCUCGCCCUCCUGAACAAGGGCAAGGAGCUGCACUGCUUCGCGCUGCGGCGAGCCUACGACGGCGAGGUCGUCGUCUCCACAGCGCUCGUCGACAUGUACGCGAAGGCCGGGAGCCUGACGAGCGCCAAGCGGGUGUUCGGCCGGGUCCAGGGCAAGAACCUGGUGUGCUGCAACGCGAUGCUCACCGGGCUGGCCGUGCACGGGCAGGCGCACGAGGCGGCGGCGCUGUUCCACGACAUGUGGCGGUCGGGGCUGAAGCCGGACGGCAUCACCUUCACGGCGCUGCUCACCGCCUGCCGAUCCAUGGGCCUGGUCACCGAAGCCUGGGAAUACUUCGACAACAUGGAGGCCAAGUACGGCGUGGCGCCGACGGCCGAGCACCACGCCUGCAUGGUCGACCUGCUGGCUCGCCGCGGGUACCUCGACGAGGCGAUGGCCUUCAUCGAGCGGUCGCCGGGCGAGCCCGGGGCGAGCUCGUGGGGCGCGCUCCUCACCGGCUGCGCCAUCCACGGCAACCUGGACCUCGCGGAGUCCGCGGCGAGGCACCUCUUCAGGCUGGAGCCGCACAACUCGGCCAACUACCUGGCGAUGAUGAGCCUGUACGAGCAGCACCGGAUGUUCGACGAGGCGGAGAGCCUCAAGUACGCCAUGAAGGCGAGAGGCGUGGACGCGAGGCCGGGGUGGAGCUGGACGCAGGCCGGGCGGAGCGUCCACGUCUUCGAGGUCGACGGCGGGUCGCCGCCGCACCCGGAGACGCCGGAGAUAUACGGCGAGAUGAGCCGGCUGGUGUCCCAGAUCAGGAUGGUGGGGUACGUGCCGGACACCGGCUGCAUCGCCUACGACGUCCCCGAGGAGGAGAAGGAGCGGCUGCUGCUCUGCCACACCGAGAAGCUCGCCGUCGUCUACGGGCUGAUCCGGUCGGACAAGAGCCGGGCGCCCGUUAGGGUGGUCAAGAACACCAGGAUGUGCAGGGACUGCCAUGAGGUGAUCAAGCACGUUUCGGCUCUGUGUGGGCGGCAGAUCAUUCUUCGUGAUGCUUCUCGGUUCCACCAUUUCGUCGACGGCAAGUGCUCCUGCGACGACUACUGGUGA